rnacentral:rRNA from 1 species
GACGAACGCUGGCGGCGUGCUUAACACAUGCAAGUCGAGCGGUAAGGCCCUUUCGGGGGUACACGAGCGGCGAACGGGUGAGUAACACGUGGGUGACCUGCCUCUAGCUCUGGGAUAAGCCUGGGAAGCUGGGUCUAAUACCGGAUAUGACCUCGCGGUGCAUGUUGCGGGGUGGAAAGCCUUGUGCGGCUAGGGAUGGGCCCGCGGCCUAUCAGCUUGUUGGUGGGGUGANGGCCUACCAAGGCGACGACGGGUAGCCGGCCUGAGAGGGCGACCGGCCACACUGGGACUGAGACACGGCCCAGACUCCUACGGGAGGCAGCAGUGGGGAAUCUUGCGCAAUGGGCGAAAGCCUGACGCAGCGACGCCGCGUGAGGGAU